UAUUGGUCAAUGGACGCGAGUCUGAACCAGCCAAGUAGCGUGAAGGAUGACUGCCCUAUGGGUUGUAAACUUCUUUUAUAUGGGAAUAAAGUUUUCCACGUGUGGAAUUUUGUAUGUACCAUAUGAAUAAGGAUCGGCUAACUCCGUGCCAGCAGCCGCGGUAAUACGGAGGAUCCGAGCGUUAUCCGGAUUUAUUGGGUUUAAAGGGAGCGUAGGUGGACAGUUAAGUCAGUUGUGAAAGUUUGCGGCUCAACCGUAAAAUUGCAGUUGAUACUGGCUGUCUUGAGUACAGUAGAGGUGGGCGGAAUUCGUGGUGUAGCGGUGAAAUGCUUAGAUAUCACGAAGAACUCCGAUUGCGAAGGCAGCCUGCUGGACUGUAACUGACGCUGAGGCACGAAAGCGUGGGUAUCGAACAGG
rnacentral:rRNA from 1 species